rnacentral:lncRNA from 1 species
AUCCACGUUGCCUCACGAAAUGAAGGAGAAAAAAAAAAAAACAACAAAAAAGCACAAGACCCUUCGGAGCGGCAAACCGGAGGGUUGUUGAGGUCCCUGGGUGUUGAUCUUCCGGAGCAACCACACCAAAAAUACACAGAUAUUCACGAUGUAUUAACGGCAACAACAACAAGGCAUGGAAGCCCCGGGGCGACGCUGUCUCCGGGGCGGCGGGGCGGGCUCGGGGCGGCGGGCGGGGGGCGCCGCCGUCUCCCCUCAGCGCUGGCUGCGGUGAUACAUCGUGCACAGGAGCCGCAAACACGAGGCACAUCGGGGCUGGCAGUCGGCAUCUUCAACCUCCAUUUUCAAACACCGCACACACGCACACACACAGAGACACAAAAACUGGGAGGGCCGCGGAGGGAGGGGAAGGGGGGGGCGCGACCCAGACAAUCCUAUUACAAAACAACAACAGCUCCGCCGUCCCCCCGCGCGGGGACGGGGCUGCCCCGGCGGGAUCCCCGCGGCUCCGCUCCCCGCUCCGCUGGGGAGGGUUGGGGGGACACCCCACGCACAACCACCACCCACAACAACACCGCCGCCGACACCACGAGUCCGGCUGCCUGCAGAGGCUCGAAAUGCAGAAUUUGGGUCGAAAAUGAAUUAAAAAGGCUUCCCCCCUAUUCCUCUUCUUCCUCUCCUCGGCGCGGCUGCCACAAGCUCCUUCUCAAUAAAAAAAAUUUAAAAAAAAAAAAAAAAAAAAAAGGAAAAAAAAAAAAAGCCGAAUCCAGGACACACACACAAAGCAGCAGCAGCAGCAGCGGCAGCAGCAGCAGCAGCAGCGGGGCGAGCGGAGCGCUCAGCACCCCGCCUCCUCCCCCCGCAGCUCUCCUCUUCGCAUCCCUCCGAGCCGCCUUGCCAUCGCGGCGGGGGCGGGGGGGAGGAGGAGGACGACGACAACAACAACAACAACAACAACAAAAACCACCCAGCGAAUUUGUAAAUCCUUUUCCUUUUUUUUUUUUUUUUUUUUCCUUUCCUCCCUUUCCUCCUCUUUUCCCUCCUCCUCUGGGUGCGCGCGCGCUGCGAACCUUCCCCCGGCGCUGCCCAGCCCAAGGCAGGGGGAGGGGGAUCCGGGAGAGGUGUGUGUAUGUGAGAGUGUGUGUGUGUGUGUGCGAGUGUGAGCAGGGGGGCUGCGGGGGGCGAGGAAGGCGAUCCGGUUUGCUGAAGGUCAAACCCCAGGAGCUUGUUGCGAAGGGUCUGUAA